GACGAACGCUGGCGGCGUGCUUAACACAUGCAAGUCGAACGGAAAGGCCCUGCUUUUGUAGGGUGCUCGAGUGGCGAACGGGUGAGUAACACGUGAGUAACCUGCCCUUGACUUUGGGAUAACUUCAGGAAACUGGGGCUAAUACCGGAUAGGAGCUCCUGCUGCAUGGUGGGGGUUGGAAAGUUUCGGCGGUUGGGGAUGGACUCGCGGCUUAUCAGCUUGUUGGUGGGGUAGUGGCUUACCAAGGCUUUGACGGGUAGCCGGCCUGAGAGGGUGACCGGCCACAUUGGGACUGAGAUACGGCCCAGACUCCUACGGGAGGCAGCAGUGGGGAAUAUUGCACAAUGGGCGGAAGCCUGAUGCAGCAACGCCGCGUGCGGGAUGACGGCCUUCGGGUUGUAACCCGCUUUCGCCUGUGACGAAGCGUGAGUGACGGUAAUGGGUAAAGAAGCACCGGCUAACUACGUG
rnacentral:rRNA from 1 species